rnacentral:lncRNA from 1 species
UGGUGGUUGAGGGAGGAGUUUCGGAGUUGGUAUAUAUAGGUGUUGGUUGAGGAGUAGAGGAAGCAAUAUUAGAGGGCGCUUUAUUACAAAAGCGGACUCUAAAGUGAAGCGAAAAAAUAAGGAGCGAACAACUGGAAUAGACAACGCACUUUAGAGGGGGCUUUUGUAAUAAAGCGCCCUCUAAGGUGAAGCGAAAAAAUAAGGAGGAGAUAGAGGGACAAUAAUACAGGGCACUUUUU